AAGUUCUGUAUUUUAGAGAAGAAUGGCAAGACAAUUGUUUUGGCUUAGUGUGCUACUUUUUGCUAGAAAGAUGCUUUAUUAACAGUAUAGAGAUUUAGAAAAAGCUAGUAUUAAGCUUGAUUCUACCUUCAAAAUCUUCUGGAAAGCCCAGAAAUCCACAUGAUCCAUGAUGUACAGAAGAAAAUUAAUCAGGAGAUGUCUCUACUGACACCUGAAAGAGCCAGACAAGAAUUGUCUCCUCACUGCUGUGCAGCUCAGGUCUUUCAACAAGCUUUAGGCAUUACCAGGAAACAUCCUUUCAAUUUUGACACAAGAAGCAGCAAUGUCACAGGAGGAAACACUCUAAGACCAAAGACAGUGCCUAGCAGAUGAAAGGAGAGAAUGGCUAUUACUACACCUAAAUGAAAAGACUCUUCCUAAUGUCUUCACACAGCUACAGCAACAAAGGCUGAUCCAGAAGUAAACCCAAAUGCAUUUUUAAUCUGUCCAGGUCACUUUAGAAAAUGCCACUGAACAGGCAACCUGUGAUUGAAGUAAGAGAAGAAUAAUGUAUAUGCAAAUUAAAGACAGGCAGAAAUAGUGUCCUGCAUAUAUACUUCAAUGUAAUUUAAUCUGCUAAUCCAUUUUUGGUACUGGGUGAUUCAGAUCCUCCUCCUCCUGAGCAAGAGCAGCACUGCAUGUCCUCCUUUCACAGACAAUGCAGCACAGGAGAGAAAGGCAAGGACAUCGGUGAAAACUAAAAAGCUUCCUUUGAUUGUGGUAACCGUGGAACAUGA